UUAUCCGGAUUUAUUGGGUUUAAAGGGAGCGUAGGUGGACAGUUAAGUCAGUUGUGAAAGUUUGCGGCUCAACCGUAAAAUUGCAGUUGAUACUGGCUGUCUUGAGUACAGUAGAGGUGGGCGGAAUUCGUGGUGUAGCGGUGAAAUGCUUAGAUAUCACGAAGAACUCCGAUUGCGAAGGCAGCUCACUGGACUGCAACUGACACUGAUGCUCGAAAGUGUGGGUAUCAAACAGGAUUAGAUACCCUGGUAGUCCACACAGUAAACGAUGAAUACUCGCUGUUUGCGAUAUACAGUAAGCGGCCAAGCGAAAGCAUUAAGUAUUCCACCUGGGGAGUACGGCCGCAAGGUUGAAACUCAAAGGAAUUGACGGGGGCCCGCACCAGCAGUGGAGUAUGUGGUUUAAUUCGAUGAUACGCGAGGAACCUUACCCGGGCU
rnacentral:rRNA from 1 species